rnacentral:misc_RNA from 1 species
AACGCACGAGACCUGCGGACCUGCGGAAGGAUCAUUACCGAGUUUACAACUCCCAAACCCCUGUGAACAUACCACUUGUUGCCUCGGCGGAUCAGCCCGCUCCCGGUAAAACGGGACGGCCCGCCAGAGGACCCCUAAACUCUGUUUCUAUAUGUAACUUCUGAGUAAAACCAUAAAUAAAUCAAAACUUUCAACAACGGAUCUCU